rnacentral:rRNA from 1 species
UGGCGAACUGGUGAGUAACACGUGGGUGAUCUGCCCUGCACUCUGGGAUAAGCCUGGGAAACUGUGUCUAAUACCGGAUAGGACCAUGCUUUAGUGUGUGUGGCGGAAAGUUUUUUCGGUGUAGGAUGAGCCCGCGGCCUAUCAGCUUGUUGGUGGGGUAAUGGCCUACCAAGGCGGCGACGGGUAGCCGGACUGAGAGGUUGGUCGGCCACAUUGGGACUGAGAUACGGCCCAG